UACGUAGGGGGCAAGCGUUGUCCGGAAUCAUUGGGCGUAAAGGGCGCGUAGGCGGCCGCCUAAGUCAGACGUGAAAUCCCUCGGCUCAACCGGGGAACUGCGUCUGAUACUGGGUGGCUUGAAUCCGGGAGAGGGAUGCGGAAUUCCAGGUGUAGCGGUGAAAUGCGUAGAUAUCUGGAGGAACACCGGUGGCGAAGGCGGCAUCCUGGACCGGCAUUGACGCUGAGGCGCGAAAGCCAGGGGAGCAAACGGG
rnacentral:rRNA from 1 species